UACGUAGGCAGCAAGCGUUGUUCGGAGUUCCUGGGCGUAAAGGGUGUGUUGGCGGUUGUUUAAGUUUGGUGUGAAAUCUCCCGGCUCAACUGGGAGGGUGCGCCGAAUACUGAAUGACUAGAGUGUGGGAGAGGUGAGUGGAAUUCCUGGUGUAGCGGUGAAAUGCGUAGAUAUCAGGAGGAACACCGGUGGUGUAGACGGCUCACUGGACCAUAACUGACGCUGAGACACGAAAGCGUGGGUAGCAAACAGG
rnacentral:rRNA from 1 species